CCGGGAUUGACGACGGUGCCGACGUCGGCGCCGUUGGUGCCGUCGGCGUGGCCGUCCACCUGCGUGGCGACGGAGGAGGAGGAGGAGAGGCGAGCGGUGGCGCGGGACGCGACGCGGCGCUUCAUGUCGUCCGAGAGGUCUCGCCGUACCACAUCCCCAACCUCGGGCCACAGGGACGCACAGCCACACUCGCACUGCAGCGGGAGGGAGAAGCACACACAAAGGACAAAGAUCACCAGUAUAGCCUUCGUCUGACUUUUGGGGAAAAUGUGCUGUUGGGCGAGCACCUAAUGACGGCUGGCAUGGUGCGCGAGGGGGCGUGGCGUCACCUGUGCGAGGCAGGACAGGAGGCGUCUGCGCUCCGUCUCCCAGGACGUGCUGCGCUCGUGGGCGGUGGCGGUGCGGCGCUCGCGACUCCUCAGCUCCGCCAGCAGCGACUCCACCAGCGCGUGACACGCAGCCUGCGGCGCACGCACGCACA